GAUGAACGCUGGCGGCGUGCCUAAUACAUGCGAGUCGAGCGAACAGACGAGGAGCUUGCUCCUCUGACGUUAGCGGCGGACGGGUGAGUAACACGUGGAUAACCUACCUAUAAGACUGGGAUAACUUCGGGAAACCGGAGCUAAUACCGGAUAAUAUAUUGAACCGCAUGGUUCAAUAGUGAAAGACGGUUUUGCUGUCACUUAUAGAUGGAUCCGCGCCGCAUUAGCUAGUUGGUAAGGUAACGGCUUACCAAGGCAACGAUGCGUAGCCGACCUGAGAGGGGGAAGGGCCACAGUGAAAGUGAACAGCGACCCAGAAACUGAGGGAGGGACGAGGUGGGGAAUGUUGCCAAAAGGGGGAAAGCCUGCAGGAGAAACGGCGGGUGGGUGAAGAAGGUCUUCGGAUCGUAAAACUCUUUUAUGAGGGAAAAACAAAUGUGUAAGUAACUAAGCACGUCUGACGGGAACCUAUUAAGAAGCCCCGGCUAAAUACGGG
rnacentral:rRNA from 1 species